rnacentral:piRNA from 1 species
UUUGAAGAACUAAAAAAAGAA